AUUGAACGCUGGCGGCAGGCCUAACACAUGCAAGUCGAACGGCAGCACAGAAGAGCUUGCUCUUUGGGUGGCGAGUGGCGGACGGGUGAGUAACACGUAGGAAUCUACCCAGUAGUGGGGGAUAACCUGGGGAAACCCAGGCUAAUACCGCAUACGCCCUGAGGGGGAAAGCGGGGGAUCUUCGGACCUCGCGCUAUUGGAUGAGCCUGCGUCGGAUUAGCUAGUUGGUGGGGUAAGGGCCCACCAAGGCGACGAUCCGUAGCUGGUCUGAGAGGAUGACCAGUCACACCGGAACUGAGACACGGUCCAGACUCCUACGGGAGGCAGCAGUGGGGAAUUUUGGACAAUGGGCGCAAGCCUGAUCCAGCCAUGCCGCGUGAGUGAAGAAGGCCU
rnacentral:rRNA from 1 species